GGGCCUAUAACUCAGUUGGUAGAGUGUAACUCUUACAAAGUUAAAGUCAACGGUUCGAGUCCGUUUGGGCCCA
rnacentral:tRNA from 1 species